rnacentral:rRNA from 1 species
UACGUAGGGGGCAAGCGUUGUCCGGAAUCAUUGGGCGUAAAGAGCGUGUAGGCGGCCAGAAAAGUCCGCUGUGAAAACUCGAGGCUCAACUUCGAGCUGUCGGUGGAAACUUUCUGGCUAGAGUCCGGAAGAGGAGAAUGGAAUUCCUGGUGUAGCGGUGAAAUGCGCAGAUAUCAGGAAGAACACCCGUGGCGAAGGCGGUCUCUGGGACGGUACUGACGCUGAGACGCGAAAGCGUGGGGAGCAAACAGG